GCCCUUGUAGCUUAGUGGUUAGAUGCACCCUCUCAAACUAUCCGAUGAGCUUCACUUUCAUGAGGAAGACGCGGGUUCGACUCCCGCCGAGGGCA